rnacentral:lncRNA from 1 species
AUUUGUGCAAAAGACUUAAUAACAAUAAUAAUCUUUUCUUCUGCAGCAAUACACGAUGACAUGAAAUGGCAUCCAUACUGUUUGUGAGAAAAAUUUGCUUCUGUAUAAUCACAUAUGGCGAGAAACGAAAGAGCAAGAACUUAAAAAUUUGCUCGCUAAACAUAGCUUGCGAAGGUGAUGAUGAUAGAAAUCACUUGUGUGCUUUAAAUUUGUGUUUGCCUGGCUGUAGCCUUAGAAUAAAAAAAUUCUCUCUAGCAGAACAACCAGUCAGAAGCAAUAUUUGCCCACUGAUGUCAAAUAGUUUGUCUAGAGAGAUGAUUUUUGCUAAGAGCAGCAUAGAUUCCCUGGUG